rnacentral:rRNA from 1 species
AGAGUUUGAUCAUGGCUCAGGAUGAACGCCGGCGGUGUGCCUAAUACAUGCAAGUCGAACGCGUUGGCCCAACUGAUUGAACGUGCUUGCACGGACUUGACGUUGGUUUACCAGCGAGUGGCGGACGGGUGAGUAACACGUAGGUAACCUGCCCCAAAGCGGGGGAUAACAUUUGGAAACAGAUGCUAAUACCGCAUAACAAUUUGAAUCGCAUGAUUCAAAUUUAAAAGAUGGUUUCGGCUAUCACUUUGGGAUGGACCUGCGGCGCAUUAGCUUGUUGGUAGGGUAACGGCCUACCAAGGCUGUGAUGCGUAGCCGAGUUGAGAGACUGAUCGGCCACAAUGGAACUGAGACACGGUCCAUACUCCUACGGGAGGCAGCAGUAGGGAAUCUUCCACAAUGGGCGCAAGCCUGAUGGAGCAACACCGCGUGAGUGAAGAAGGGUUUCGGCUCGUGAAGCUCUGUUGUUAGAGAAGAACGUGCGUGAGAGCAACUGUUCACGCAGUGACGGUAUCUAACCAGAAAGUCACGGCUAACUACGUGCCAGCAGCCGCGGUAAUACGUAGGUGGCAAGCGUUAUCCGGAUUUAUUGGGCGUAAAGCGAGCGCAGGCGGUUUGAUAAGUCUGAUGUGAAAGCCUUUGGCUUAACCAAAGAAGUGCAUCGGAAACUGUCAGACUUGAGUGCAGAAGAGGACAGUGGAACUCCAUGUGUAGCGGUGGAAUGCGUAGAUAUAUGGAAGAACACCAGUGGCGAAGGCGGCUGUCUGGUCUGCAACUGACGCUGAGGCUCGAAAGCAUGGGUAGCGAACAGGAUUAGAUACCCUGGUAGUCCAUGCCGUAAACGAUGAGUGCUAGGUGUUGGAGGGUUUCCGCCCUUCAGUGCCGCAGCU